GACGUAGGGCGCGAGCGUUGUCCGGAUUUAUUGGGCGUAAAGAGCUCGUAGGCGGCUUGUUGCGUCAGCUGUGAAAACCCGCAGCUCAACUGUGGGCUUGCAGCUGAUACGGGCAGGCUUGAGUUCGGUAGGGGAGACUGGAAUUCAUGGUGUAGCAGUGAAAUGCGUAGAGAUCAUGAGGAAGACCAGCGGCGAAGGCGGGGCUCUGGACAGUUCCUGACACUGAGACACGAAGGCCAGGGGAGCAAACGGG
rnacentral:rRNA from 1 species